rnacentral:tRNA from 1 species
UCCCCGAUAGCUCAAUGGUAGAGCAGAUUCCUGUUAAGAAUAAGGUUCGAGGUUCGAAUCCUCGUCGGGGAGCCA